rnacentral:rRNA from 1 species
GAUGAACGCUGGCGGCGUGCCUAAUACAUGCAAGUCGAGCGAACGGACGAGAAGCUUGCUUCUCUGAUGUUAGCGGCGGACGGGUGAGUAACACGUGGAUAACCUACCUAUAAGACUGGGAUAACUUCGGGAAACCGGAGCUAAUACCGGAUAAUAUUUUGAACCGCAUGGUUCAAAAGUGAAAGACGGUCUUGCUGUCACUUAUAGAUGGAUCCGCGCUGCAUUAGCUAGUUGGUGAGGUAACGGCUUACCAAGGCAACGAUGCAUAGCCGACCUGAGAGGGUGAUCGGCCAGACGGGAACUGAGACACGGUCCAGACUCCUACGGGAGGCAGCAGUAGGGAAUCUUACGAGAUGGGCGAAAGCCUGACGGAGCAAAGCCGCGUGAGUGAUGAAGGUCUUCGGAUCGUAAAACUCUGUUAUUAGGGAAGAACAUAUGUGUAAGUAACUGUGCACAUCUUGACGGUACCUAAUCAGAAAGCCACGGCUAACUACGUG